AACUAUCAACCUAAUUGAAGAGCCAAAAUCUCAAAUAUGCAUUAGAGAUGAUCCUCAUUGCUGGCACGAAACCACAGCUUCUAACGCUGCGUCGUUUGGAGAUCAAACGGUCGAGUUUUGCUCCAUUUACUCACAGGGCAGAACUGUCAUUCAUGGGCCAGUUUGGUAAAUUCCACAACUAGUCAUCCAACUCUGGCUAUUACAGAUCAGUCCCUAAACAGUCAUAAUUUACAGAUCAGUCACCUAACGUUUAGAGAGUACAAUCUAAUCUCCAAAUUUCCAAAAAAAAGCACAAAGGUCACUUAACAUUCAAGAUUUUCAGAAUCGUCACCAAACCUUCAACACUUGCACUUUGGAAAGUUGUCUUCUCCGACGAACUCCCUCGCUGGCGGUGAGCUCUCCCCAGAUUCCGGCGAUUCCAGCAAUUCUGGAAUCGCGAUUUUCAGCCACCGCCCGGUCAAUCGGACAUCAUGGUUCACUCCCGAUUGUCCGUCGAUGCUCCUUAUCCACCAACACGCCUGACGUGUCACCGAUGACCCCAACCUCAUCCUCUCGCUGAUCGAUCUUCAGCUACCGCGGAAGCUCGCCAACGCCGCCUCCAUUGCCUUCUCUGUCGAUUCACCUGGAACCAUCCCCUAUGACUGUCGCCGUCUCCUGGAUUUAUGUCACGAACGAGAAGCUGCCGUAGCCAUCAACUCCUCUCGUCGGAUCUGGCACUAGGGUUUGGUCACAACACCAAACACUUUAAAUAGUUACGGAGGCCCACAUGCCGUUCGAUCCAUCCAACGACCUAUGGCCCAUUACGUCAUCCAACCGAAAUCUAUUGUUAACAAGCAACAACCCACUCAUUUCUCUUGACCGAAACCGGCUUCACCUCUCAUCAUAGGAUCUAUCUAACGCUCCAGAUUCCUCCAAGCUCCAAACUAAUAAACUAAAGGCUCGACCCCAUCUCUGAUUAUUUAACCAACCAGAUAAUUAGACUGAACCUCGCCGAUCUCUUGAACUCGGUCAACACAACAGUCAAACUCCUCAGAUCCUCAAAUUGAUAAAUUAAUUCGAUACCAAUUCAUUAAUUCCACUAGGUUCAUGUCUUUGAGAAUUGAAGGGCUUAGCUUUAACUUACAUUAAUUAGUCAACAUGACUAAUUAAUCGAACACUAAUAAUGCUUAUCACGGUCAACUAGGAAGUCAAACUUCUUGAAUUAAAUAAGUUAUUUCAAUUCAAAAUUAGAGUUUCUACUUGACGAGUAGGAUAUUAUUCUAACAAAAAAUUC
rnacentral:lncRNA from 1 species